AGCUCCAAUAGCGUAUAUUUAAGUUGUUGCAGUUAAAAAGCUCGUAGUUGGAUUUUGGUUAAGAGGGCGCGGUCGGCCGUUUGGUCUGUACUGCGUUGUCUUGACUUCCUGAUGAGGACAUGCUCUUGGUUAACGCUGAGACAUGGAGUCAUCGUGGUUACUUUGAAAAAUUAGAGUGUUCAAAGCGGGCUUACGCUUGAAUAUAUUAGCAUGGAAUAACACUAUAGGACUCCUGUCCUAUCUCGUUGGUCUCGGGAUGGGAGUAAUGAUUAAGAGGAACAGUUGGGGGCAUUCGUAUUUCAUUGUCAGAGGUGAAAUUCUUGGAUUUAUGAAAGACGAACUUCUGCGAAAGCAUUUGCCAAGGAUGUUUUCA
rnacentral:rRNA from 1 species